AGUGAACGCUGGCGGUAGGCCUAACACAUGCAAGUCGAACGGCAGCACAGUAAGAGCUUGCUCUUACGGGUGGCGAGUGGCGGACGGGUGCGGAAUACAUCGGAAUCUACUUUUUCGUGGGGGAUAACGUAGGGAAACUUACGCUAAUACCGCAUACGACCUACGGGUGAAAGCAGGGGAUCUUCGGACCUUGCGCGAUUGAAUGAGCCGAUGUCGGAUUAGCUAGUUGGCGGGGUAAAGGCCCACCAAGGGGACGAUCCGUAGCUGGUCUGAGAGGAUGAUCAGCCACACUGGAACUGAGACACGGUCCAGACUCCUACGGGAGGCAGCAGUGGGGAAUAUUGGACAAUGGGCGCAAGCCUGAUCCAGCCAUACCGCGUGGGUGAAGAAGGCCUUCGGGUUGUAAAGCCCUUUUGUUGGGAAAGAAAAGCAGCAGGUUAAUACCCCGCUGUUCUGACGGUACCCAAAGAAUAAGCACCGGCUAACUUCGUG
rnacentral:rRNA from 1 species